rnacentral:rRNA from 1 species
CAGUAGCCGCGGGAAUACGGAGGGUGCAAGCGUUAAUCGGAAUUACUGGGCGUAAAGCGCACGCAGGCGGUUUGUUAAGUCAGAUGUGAAAUCCCCGAGCUUAACUUGGGAACUGCAAUUGAAACUGGCAAGCUAGAGUCUUGUAGAGGGGGUAGAAUUCCAGGUGUAGCGGUGAAAUGCGUAGAGAUCUGGAGGAAUACCGGUGGCGAAGGCGGCCCCCUGGACAAAGACUGACGCUCAGGUGCGAAAGCGUGGGGAGCAAACAGGAUUAGAUACCCCGGUAGUCCCUGUCUCUUAUACA